rnacentral:rRNA from 1 species
UUUAAAUUGAGAGUUUGAUCCUGGCUCAGGACGAACGCUGGCGGCGUGCUUAACACAUGCAAGUCGAGCGAUGAAGCUUCCUUCGGGAAGUGGAUUAGCGGCGGACGGGUGAGUAACACGUGGGCAACCUGCCUCAAAGAGGGGAAUAGCCCUCCGAAAGGAGGAUUAAUACCGCAUAAAGUUAGAGUUUUGCAUGAAACUUUAACCAAAGGAGCAAUCCGCUUUGAGAUGGGCCCGCGUCCCAUUAGCUAGUUGGUAAGGUAACGGCUUACCAAGGCAACGAUGGGUAGCCGACCUGAGAGGGUGAUCGGCCACAUUGGAACUGAGACACGGUCCAGACUCCUACGGGAGGCAGCAGUGGGGAAUAUUGCGCAAUGGGGGAAACCCUGACGCAGCAACGCCGCGUGGGUGAUGAAGGUUUUCGGAUCGUAAAACCCUGUUUUCUGGGACGAUAAUGACGGUACCAGAUGAGGAAGCCACGGCUAACUACGUGCCAGCAGCCGCGGUAAUACGUAGGUGGCAAGCGUUGUCCGGAUUUACUGGGCGUAAAGGGUGCGUAGGCGG